rnacentral:rRNA from 1 species
GAUGAACGCUGGCGGCGUGCCUAACACAUGCAAGUCGUACGAGCUCGAUCUUCGGAACGGGUUAGUGGCGCACGGGUGAGUAACACGUAGGUGACCUACCCCAGAGUGGGGGAUAACUUCUCGAAAGAGAGGCUAAUACCGCAUACACUCGGUCAUUCAUUUGGCCGAGCAAAGCUCCGGCGCUUUGGGACGGGCCUGCGUCCGAUUAGCUAGUUGGUAGGGUAAUGGCUUACCAAGGCUUUGAUCGGUAGCUGGUCUGAGAGGACGAUCAGCCACACUGGCACUGACACACGGGCCAGACUCCUACGGGAGGCAGCAGUGAGGAAUAUUGGGCAAUGGGCGAAAGCCUGACCCAGCAACGCCGCGUGAGGGAUGAAGGCCUUCGGGUUGUAAACCUCUUUCUGGGUAGAAGAGACAAGGACGGUAUCCCAGGAAUAAGUCUCGGCUAACUACGUGCCAGCAGCCGCGGUAAU